rnacentral:rRNA from 1 species
GCACCACAAGAACGCGUGGAGCAUGUGGCUUAAUUUGACUCAACGCGGGAAAUCUUACCGGGUCCGGACACACUGAGGAUUGACAGGCAAUAUCUCAUGUUAACGGUAAGUUUACUUACCGCUUAGCAUCGAGUGUUAAAUAUGCUAGUCCUUUCAUGAUUAUGUGAUAGGUGGUGCAUGGCCGUUCUUAGUUCGUGGAGUGAUCUGUCUGCUUAAUUGCGUUUCACUAAGGGCCCAUAAAUUCAAGGUAUGUUAGCUCUCGUCGCUCUAUGGACCCCUUAACUCCAAUAUUCUUAUUGUGUUAAGCGCGUGUCUUUAUUUUAAGAGUUUUAAGACACUGCGCAUGCUGUUGGGCUCUGAAAGCAACGAACGUGACCGCAACGUCUUGUUGCCUUAAACUAGCGUAUAUUGCAAUUUAUUGUAAUAUCGCUUACAGAGGCUAUUUAAAACUAGACGGACCGCUGUUUCUUUCUUAAACCAGAGGAGGGUUGCGGCAAUAACAGGUCUGUGAUGC